CUACGUGCCAGCAGCCGCGGUAAUACGGAGGAUGCGAGCGUUAUCCGGAUUUAUUGGGUUUAAAGGGUGSGUAGGCGGCCUGUUAAGUCAGCGGUGAAAUCUAGGAGCUUAACUCCUAAAUUGCCAUUGAUACUGGCGGGCUUGAGUGUAGAUGAGGUAGGCGGAAUGCGUGGUGUAGCGGUGGAAUGCAUAGAUAUCACGCAGAACUCCGAUUGCGAAGGCAGCUUACUAAGGUACAACUGACGCUGAAGCACGAAAGCGUGGGUAUCAAACAGGAUUAGAUACCCUGGUAGUCCACGCAGUAAACGAUGAUAACUGGGCGUAUGCGAUAUMCAGUAUGCUCCUAAGCGAAAGCGUUAAGUUAUCCMCCUGGGGAGUACGCCGGCAACGGUGAAACUCAAAGGAAUUGACGGGGGCCCGCACAAGCGGAGGAACAUGUGGUUUAAUUCGAUGAUACGCGAGGAACCUUACCCGGGAUU
rnacentral:rRNA from 1 species